rnacentral:rRNA from 1 species
UGGGCAACCUGCCCUCAGCUCUGGGAUAACCCCGGGAAACCGGGGCUAAUACCGGAUACGACCUCCGCGGGCAUCUGCGGAGGUGGAAAGGUUUUCCGGCUGAGGAUGGGCCCGCGGCCUAUCAGCUAGUUGGUGAGGUAACGGCUCACCAAGGCGACGACGGGUAGCUGGUCUGAGAGGAUGGCCAGCCACAUUGGGACUGAGACACGGCCCAGACCUCCGUACGGGAGGCA